UACGUAGGGGGCUAGCGUUAUUCGGAAUCAUUGGGCUUAAAGCGCGUGUAGGCGGAUUCGUGCGUCUGUCGCUGAAAUCCCCCGGCUCAACCGGGGAACGGGCGCGGAUACGACGAGUCUGGAGGGGCAUAGGGGGACCUGGAACUUCCGGUGGAGCGGUGAAAUGCGUUGAGAUCGGAAGGAACGCCCGUGGCGAAAGCGAGGUCCUGGAUGCCUACUGACGCUGAGACGCGAAAGCCAGGGGAGCGAACGGG
rnacentral:rRNA from 1 species